AUUGAACGCUGGCGGCAUGCCUUACACAUGCAAGUCGAACGGUAACGGGCCUUCGGGUGCCGACGAGUGGCGAACGGGUGCGUAAUACAUCGGAACGUGCCCGAUCGUGGGGGAUAACGAGGCGAAAGCUUUGCUAAUACCGCAUACGAUCUACGGAUGAAAGCAGGGGACCGCAAGGCCUUGCGCGGACGGAGCGGCCGAUGGCAGAUUAGGUAGUUGGUGUGAUAAAAGCUUACCAAGCCGACGAUCUGUAGCUGGUCUGAGAGGAUGAUCAGCCACACUGGGACUGAGACACGGCCCAGACUCCUACGGGAGGCAGCAGUGGGGAAUUUUGGACAAUGGGCGCAAGCCUGAUCCAGCCAUGCCGCGUGCAGGAUGAAGGCCUUCGGGUUGUAAACUGCUUUUGUACGGAACGAAAAGCCUUCUUUUAAUACAGGAGGGUCAUGACGGUACCGUAAGAAUAAGCACCGGCUAACUACGUG
rnacentral:rRNA from 1 species